rnacentral:piRNA from 1 species
UUGCCAACAGUCAUUGAAGGUUUGCCAAC